rnacentral:rRNA from 1 species
CCUACGGGAGGCAGCAGUGGGGAAUAUUGCACAAUGGGGGAAACCCUGAUGCAGCGACGCCGCGUGAGUGAAGAAGUACUUCGGUAUGUAAAGCUCUAUCAGCAGGGAAGAAAAUGACGGUACUUGACUAAGAAGCCGCGGCUAACUACGUGCCAGCAGCCGCGGGAAUACGUAGGGGGAAGGCGUUAUCCGGAUUUACUGGGGGGAAAGGGAGCGUAGGCGGCGGAACCAGUCAGAAGUGAAAACCCGGGGCUCAACCCUUGGAGUGCUUUUGAAAAUGUUUGGCUGGAGUGCAGGGGAGGGAAGCGGAAUUCCUAGGGUAGCGGUGAAAUGCGUAGAUAAUAGGAGGGACACCAGUGGCGAAGGGGGCUUACUGGACUGUAACUGACGUUGAGGCUCGAAAGCGUGGGGAGCAAACAGGAUUAGAUACCCUUGUAGUC